rnacentral:rRNA from 1 species
UACGUAGGGUGCGAGCGUUGUCCGGAAUUACUGGGCGUAAAGAGCUCGUAGGUGGUUUGUCGCGUUGUCCGUGAAAACUCACAGCUCAACUGUGGGCGUGCGGGCGAUACGGGCAGACUGGAGGUAUGCAGGGGAGAACGGAAUUCCUGGUGUAGCGGUGAAAUGCGUAGAUAUCAGGAGGAACACCGGUGGCGAAGGCGGGUCUCUGGGCCGAUACUGACGCUGAGGAGCGAAAGCGUGGGGAGCGAACAGG